GUCGGUGCUUAAUCUGAAAUGGUUGCUGCUGUCCAGCCAGCAGCACCGUAGACGAGCCCAUCAACAACAUGAUGGGAACCAACCGUACUUCUUGAUCCGGUAUCUAAACCAUUGAUCGUCAGUGUUGUUACGGAAGGUGCGGAGGAGGGAGAAGGUUUUGCCGAUAACUGGCACAACGAGGUUAGGUGUAGGUCUGGGCGCUGGUGCUGGUGGAGGCGCACCACUGGAGCUCGACCAUGACUCGGUCGGACAGCACUUUGAGCCAUCAUAAAAAUAUCAUGAUCAUCUUUUGGCGAAUACAAAGGUGUUUAUAACCUCAUAAGCAAAGACAUGUAGUAUUGCUUGUAUAUUUAGAGAUACUAUGGGAAUUGAUACACUCAUAGCUUUUUUUUCUUAGUUGUAUGUUGUGUUGUCACUUUUUUCUGAUCUCUGUCAUGCAUAUGUUUUGACUAAAUUAUGGUUGUUGUUUAUGGUUGUCAAAUUAAGCCAUUGAUAGAGAUAAGCAAAAGUAGUUGUUGAUUGACCAAGCGGAGAGACAACUUAGAGACACUAUAACAGUUAGGAAUUUAAGUAGCGGGACCAAAUUAUGUCAUGCUUUAUAACAUGUCAUCGAUUCUUCAUGUAGCUUACUACUUGAUUCUAACACUUUUUCUUUGGAUGCAGCAAGAAUCAUACCCCACCCACACGGUGGCACGACGCAGAAGGGCUACAUGGGUCUAUAGCGGCGCGUGCAAUGGAAGGACACCUAUGGGAACAAGCUCACCGAGGUCUUGGAAUUCCAACCUAGAUAAACAAGUGAACUCAUUUUAACAGUUUUCCUUUUUUUGUGAUGCAGGCUAGCUCAUUCAUUAAGGGCUACUCAGCUCUGCUUUUGCCCUCCCUUUGGAGAUUGGAUUAUAUGGUACUCUGUGUUGAAGGCUCUUCAUACUAAAUUUAAUAAAUCUUGUCAUGUUUUCAUAGGUUGCCUAUUUUCUCACCCUGCAUGGAAUGGUGAAUGUUUGUAGCAUGGUCACUUGGUCAGGUUUUGAUUACUUUUAUCACUGCACAUACCUUCAGAAAAUAACCCAAUGAGGCUAGCUCGUUCUUUCUACUUAUACACCUACACAUGGGAUGCUCUGUUAAUUUUGUUGUGCAAAUAAUCAUUAUUCCUGUUGAUGAACAAUGAUAAUGGCUCCCAAAACUACAACACUUGCUGCUUCAGUGUAUGUCUACUGUAUCGUAAAAGAAUAUGAUUAUAUCUUUUGCUUUGUAGUGCCCUGUUCACGAGAAUGAUGCUGAGAAGGCAAUAGGUCAUGCAUGCUAGCUUUGGCAUGGACACGCUUCAAAACUGUCUCUGUCCAUAGGGUUACUGAUUACUGCUUGUGAUGUUUAAGAGUGAUGCACAGGAACAGGAUUAUUUUUAUGUGAAGGUGGAUAGAAAUAACUUUACUUGAGAAGGAGCUUUUCAUUGCAUCUGAUUUGUACUAUCAGUAUCAGACUUCAUUCCUGUGAAGUAACAUUUGGGCAAAAUGGGCAACAUGUGUUUGGUCAUUGCCGUGCUUUGUUUCUUAGGCUCGUGCUAUGAUAACUUGAUGACACCCCUUUAUAGACAUUAUAGUAUAGAGCAUUCUCAUGCAUUAAGUUCAGUGCAAGGAAAAUGGAUAAAGUAUGCAAACUGGAACAAGAUAGUUGAUCCUUUAAAUGGGGAGUACAAAUUUAUUGCAAUAAUCUAUAUAUGCCCUGCAGAACCUGUACACCUUGCAAUAGGUAGAGA
rnacentral:lncRNA from 1 species